rnacentral:rRNA from 1 species
CGGCCAGACUCCUACGGGAGGCAGCAGUGAGGAAUAUUGGUCAAUGGGCUUACGCCUGAACCAGCCAAGUCGCGUGAGGGAAGACUGCCCUAUGGGUUGUAAACCUCUUUUGUCAGGGAGCAAUUGGCGCUACGUGUAGCGUUAUCGAGAGUACCUGAAGAAAAAGCAUCGGCUAACUCCGUGCCAGCAGCCGCGGUAAUACGGAGGAUGCGAGCGUUAUCCGGAUUUAUUGGGUUUAAAGGGUGCGUAGGCGGAAUGCCAAGUCAGGGGUAAAAUCGCGGGGCUCAACCGCGCUCCGCCGUUGAAACUGGCGUUCUUGAGUGGGCGAGAAGUAUGCGGAAUGCGUGGUGUAGCGGUGAAAUGCAUAGAUAUCGCGCAGAACUCCGAUUGCGAAGGCAGCAUGCCGGCUCCACACUGACGCUGAGGCACGAAAGCGUGGGUAUCGAACAGGAUUAGAUACCCCGGUA